ACGAACCGUCCAAACGUUAUUCGGAAUUACUGGGCUUAAAGGGUGCGUAGGCGGCGCGGAAAGUUGGGUGUGAAAUCCCUCGGCUCAACCGAGGAACUGCGCUCAAUACUACCGUGCUCGAGGGAGAUAGAGGUGAGCGGAACUUAGGGUGGAGCGGUGAAAUGCGUUGAUAUCCUAAGGAACACCGGUGGCGAAAGCGGCUCACUGGAUCUCUUCUGACGCUGAGGCACGAAAGCUAGGGUAGCGAACGGGA
rnacentral:rRNA from 1 species